rnacentral:rRNA from 1 species
GUGAGGAAUAUUGGACAAUGGGCGCAAGCCUGAUCCAGCCAUGCCGCGUGCAGGAAGACGCAUCUAUGGUGUGUAAACUGCUUUUGUACGGGAAGAAACACUCCCUCGUGAGGGAGCUUGACGGUACCGUAAGAAUAAGGAUCGGCUAACUCCGUGCCAGCAGCCGCGGUAAUACGGAGGAUCCAAGCGUUCUCCGGAAUCAUUGGGUUUAAAGGGUCCGUAGGCGGUUUAAUAAGUCAGUGGUGAAAGCCCAUCGCUCAACGAUGGAACUGCCAUUGAUACUGUUAGACUUGAAUUACAAGGAAGUAACUAGAAUAUGUAGUGUAGCGGUGAAAUGCUUAGAUAUUACAUGGAAUACCAAUUGCGAAGGCAGGUUACUACUUGUGGAUUGACGCUGAUGGACGAAAGCGUGGGGAGCGAACAGGAUUAGAAACCCCGGUAGUCC